AACCCACGGGCGCAAUGAAAGUGAAGGGCCGCCCUCGCGGUGGCCUCGGGUGGGAUCCCGGCGCGCUUCCCGUCAAAAGGACCGCCGGGCGCACCACCGGCCCGUCUCUAACCUAACGGCUGAGGCGGAGCGAGAGCGUGCGCGUUGGGACCCGAAAGAUGGUGAACUAUGCCUGAGUAGGUCGAAGCCAGAGGAAACUCUGGUGGAGGACCGUAGCGAUUCUGACGUGCAAAUCGAUCGUCAAACU
rnacentral:rRNA from 1 species